CCGUCCUUUGUGCUGUGUGUGAGAGGUCGUCAUCCCUUCUCGGGCACCGCACCGAAGGAUGG
rnacentral:pre_miRNA from 1 species